UGGGGAAUUUUCCACAAUGGGCGCAAGCCUGAUGCAGCCAUGCCGCGUGUAUGAAGAAGGCCUUCGGGUUGUAAAGUACUUUCAGUCGGGAGGAAGGUGGUAAGGUUAAUAACCUUAUCAAUUGACGUUACCGACAGAAGAAGCACCGGCUAACUCCGUGCCAGCAGCCGCGGUAAUACGGAGGGUGCAAGCGUUAAUCGGAAUUACUGGGCGUAAAGCGCACGCAGGCGGUUGAUUGAGUCAGAUGUGAAAUCCCCGGGCUUAACCCGGGAAGUGCAUCUGAUACUGGUCAGCUAGAGUCUUGUAGGGGGGGGUAGAAUUCCAGGUGUAGCGGUGAAAUGCGUAGAGAUGUGGAAGAACACCGGUGGCGAAGGCGGCCCCCUGGACAAAGACUGACGCUCAGGUACGAAAGCGUGGGGAGCAAACGGG
rnacentral:rRNA from 1 species